UCCAACACUAAACAAAAAAUGAAAACCAAUAAACCUAGGCAGUGACUCAUUAUAAAUGUAAAAUGUUAGAGCCUAAAGCUGGGUUUUUUUCAUGUGCCUGGGUGGAGAAGGGUGAGGUGCCCUCUGAGGAUGAUUUUAUCUUUGACUUUUGAGUCUGAAGAUCUUGGAUGUGGUUUGGCAAGUUCAUAAACAUAUUUGUGAUAAAGUUGAACUGCUGUCUGGAAAUGUUACAUACAGAGAUGUAAGAAAGCUUAAGGAGAAAACAGCAAAUGCUGAAAGAAGAAUCAGCAGUGUUCAGGAAUGAGGUUAGAAACUGCGGACAAUUAGCUACUAGAUGACUCCUACUAAAUAAAUCAUCAAAGACUUGACGACUGCUUCCAGGUUUCCACAACAAUAUUAGCUCAUUGAAGCAGCCAGAAAGAUGGUAAUUUGGCCAAAGUUUUAGGAAUUUGCUAUUCUUGUUUGAAUUAACCAGCAAGGCUGAUGUAUACUCUGUUGCCAAGCCUAUAAAGCAGGGCCUUCAUGCUUCCAGGGAAGAUACUGUAUUUAUUGAGCAGGAUCAAGGGCCCCAUGACAUGGAAAAUAAGCUUCUUUGUGUUAAAUAAGAGCUGCAUGGGAAACAAAAACAACCUGAGCUUGUCAUGGAAUCUCACAUCUUAUUUCAGCACUCAAUAAAGCACUUUGCUUGUCCAGUUUAAUAGAGAAGCACAAUUUCUUCUUCCUGUAUGCCUCCACAAAUCAGAGCUAGCUCUGAUCUCAUUUAGAGCUUAAUCCAAGAUCCAAAGUAAAAGGAAAAUACUGCUGUUGCUUCCAACAGGCAUCUGGUCAGUCUUGUACCAUAGUUUUACUUAAGUGUAAAUUGAGUGCUGAGUUUCUUCCAAGAAAAAGAGGGGUAAGUGGUAAGAAAUGGGAGUCUGAAUGCUCAACUUUCCACUGUUACUGCUGAUAGGACCUAUCCUUUGGCUUGGCAAAAACUUGUCAAUUUGUCUGCCCUUUCUGCAGGGCCAACUGGUACAAAAAAGUGCUCACCUUGACCUUCUUUAUUGCUACAUCUGGGCAGCUCACCACAGUUGGAGUCUCUUUUACUGCUUGAGAUUUACUUGUGUCCCUGGUGUGUUGUGAUAAGCCUCUGAAUGUCACUGCUGUGAUGGUUUUGUUCCUCCCAAAGACUAUCCAGAGGUUCAGUGAAGACAAGUAGGUUUUGCUUUGGUUGAAAAGUAGAUUGUAUUGUGUCACUGUGAUAAAUGGCAAUAUGAAAAGUGUUGGUUGAAUUUAACAGGAAAUUGGAAUGUUUCACUUGUCACAAGGCAAGUUUAUAACGUGGACUUCUGACAUUGCUCAUAGUAGGGGAACCUCACCCCACGUUGAGGGCGAGCUCAAGGCCUAGUUAUCGUGCAAAUGCAAUUUCAGCUAUCUUCAGACUAAGACUUAAGUGGUGCAUAAGCCGCACACACUCUCUCUGCGCAGGAGUGUAAUAAAAAGGAACCUGAUUUGGAAAACACUAGGGAGAAAUACUGAAGUUUUACACACCAAAAAGGCUAUUUAGAAAUGCUUUUCUUUUAUACCAUGUAAGCCAAGCAUAUUGACAUUAAUUAUAUAAGAUACUUAGGGUUUGGAAUAAACUGCUGAAGAGCACAAGAUGUAUACCAAAUCCUAUGCAAAUGAGUGUGUGCAACUGUUUUCGGGUAACACGUUUAUUUAUAACAAUAAGCUGUAUGUAUGGGUUUCUUUUUAGUGGGUAGAACAUCAUAAAAGGUCUCCCUCUAUCUCUCGAUCGCUCUUACUCAGUGUAGUGAGAUAGUUACAUCUGUUCAGCACAGCCCAGUAUGCAUUCCAGGAGCUGAGAACAGGUUCUUUCCAUACUUGAGUUAGUAGUACUCUUGUCAGCUUUCCUGGAAUUGCAUCAUGGUAACUAGGAGCAGAAUUCAUUCUCCUCUGGUGGUAAAUUUCCUUUGGUUUCAGAAAACCUGAUGGAAUUCAUAACUGCAUUUGUAUUUUUCACUCUGUGUCCCUGAGCUCAGAGGUGCUUAAAGGAAAUGCUGUGACUGAUUUGCUAUGUUGCCCAUUAGUGUUAUCAGUAGAGACUCUUAAUAACAUUGGAAGAAAACUUCAUCUAUCCCUUCUUGUACCCUGGCUGCCUGCAAAGAAAUUCUCUUCCUUUUGAUAAGUUUACUUCAUGGUGGAAGAGUCCUCCUACAUCAGGGCCAUGACAGGCAGGCUCAGCAGGCAAUCACCUCCACUUCAAAUGCUUCUGUACCUGUCCCCUAUUCCCUGCUCCUUCCAUCUUAGGCACUGGCCUACACGUGAAAAUACUUCACUUUCCAGGACAAGUUUCUUUACUGAACCAGCCAAAUAAUUAUCUAAGGAUACUCCUUAACAUUAGCGGAGAUGUCUAGCUUAUGUUGGAGCUGCUCUGUGGUCAUUGUAGAGUGUCACCUGGCUGAGCUGUGCUGGAACUGGCAAGCUUCCUAGAACCUGCUCUACAUUCUCCAAACCAUCCCACAAAUGCCAAGGCUGAGCACUUUUGCUCUUAGAAACACCCAUCUGCAGGGGAAGAUGUUGAUAGUGAAUAGUUAUUCCCUCUCAUCACCAGCAGAGAAUGUUAAUGUUGCUAAAGCUGGUUCAGGUUCCUUGAAUUCUCCCAAUUUACCUAAUAAUCCUCUUACCAUUUCACAGUUGUUUUCAGAUCUACUGUGUUUGCACAAGUUCCAGAAAGCUCAUGGUAAACCAGCUGCUUUUACCUCUCAGAUUCAAGCCCAUUAAAGGAUUUGACGAAAGCUAUUCAGUGCUGUGGGCAAAGAAGAACAAACGUGAUCCAUUUAGUAACUAAAAAGCAUCACACUCCAAGUGUGAAACUUGCAUGAAGGAGAUGAGAAUUAAGCCCAGAGGGAACAGAGGAGCUGCAAUGCAGGAACCAGUCCUCCCUGUGAAACAUUUAAGUGAGGGAGAAGAGCUUUCAGAGCUAUCUAAGAGUUAACUGGCUACAUUUCAACUGUCACCAUUGUCUUACAUCUACAUAGAGAUGGGAGGAGAGCCAGAGAGGUGUAAGUACAGAAGGCCACUGGGAAGAAAACAUUUGUAAGUAGAAAUUUCUGCUCAGAAGCCUCAGAGCAGAUCUUCACAGUUUGUCUUGAUUUUCUCUUUCCCUAUUUUUUAAACACAAUGUGCAGUGAAAAUGAUUGUUAGUAUCCAAAGGACCUUACUUGCUGGCUCGCUGCAUCUCUGUUUAUGAAAUGCCAUAACAAAAGUGAGCUCACGCUUGUGUGCUUCCAAUGCGUGAUGUUCCUGUGUGCCAGAUGGGCACUUUCAUGACUGUAUGAGCGUGGAUUAUUUCAUUUCCUACAUCUGGGACUCCAAAUGGCUGCACAGAAUGCCACAGGAGAGAGGCACAGAUCUUCAGCUGGGAAAGCCUACCUUCACAGGGGAACCAGCUACAUCAGAGGGGAUGGGGCAGAGAAGCCCCAAGUGGUAUCUGAAAGUUCACAUAAACCAGGGCCACAAGGGAAACCUUUAGAACCAGGAACAAGACAAAAAUAAACAAUAACUAAUGCUGGAUGUCAGCUGUGGAGAGGGGGGAGGGAAAAUAAACCAUAAGCAGUUUCUUGUCUUGCCACAGAAGAUGUGUUUGGAAUGCUGUUUUGUAUUUCAGCUCAGAAACUCUGCUGUGACCUUCAGAUAUCGCUGGGUGUUACAAAUUCUACAGAUAGCCAGAGAGAAAUAUCCCAAGGAGAACUGGCAUAUACCAUGCCAUACUAGUUAAUGUUGACUGUGUAUUGCUCACAGCCCAUUCCAGAACUGCAACCAGGCAGCCUUAUAAACACUGCAGAAUCCUACAGUAAUAGGAAUGCUACAGUUUGUCAUAAAGCUAUUGCGGGAUUUGGGAUAAUUACUUGUUUGUUUGUAGGAUAAAAGGGUGCUUUGCUUUUUUUUUAAGCCCAAAAUAGUCAGAGGAGAUCCACAAUAUAGUGAGGUCCUGGCUUACUAUGCUUUUGCAGUAUAUGUUGCAUUUCAGAGCCAGCAAACAGGAGGACAUAGUAAGAAGAGGCAGAAUAGCCUGUCCUGUAUGUUUGAUUGAAUUAGCUGUAGCAGAAAAAUAUAUAGUUAAGCCAAUGGCUUUCUUAAGAUGAAAGAGAGCAGUCCCCCAAAAGAGAACAACUGGAAAAAAGUAAUGAACAAAAGAAAGUAAGAGCCUGUGACACAAAGUAAGAAAAAUAAACAGCAGUUGACUUAACUAUUUUGCAUAAGAUAUUUACAAACCACAGCAUAUUACUGUUUGCUUUAUGCAUUUUCACAUCCUGCUCAGUUUAAAGCAGUAAUUUUCUGCAAGGACAACAGAGGGGAAAAAAAAUGCUUUACACUGCUUAUAUUAAUUACAUUUUUUCAUUACCCAUCAUGUUUUCUACAGGCUUGUGUAUUAUUACUGUAAAAUGUAAUGAAACAGAGAAGGAAAAAAGAAUGGACUUCUGGGAAAUUUUCCAAUUCUUGAAAUGCAAUGUUAAUUGAGUGCUAUUUUUAGGUCAUCACAGACAGAGCUGAACCUAUUGCCAUCAGUGCACAGAAUGGGGACAGCCCAGGUGCAACACAGACUGGUGAGGAUCUCAGUUUCUACUGAUGGAGGAAAAAGGAGAGAAAGUAACUCCCUAGAUUGGCAAUUCUGGUUGGGGUAGUUUCUAUUUCUCGAUGUAAAGUCCUCAAAGCAGAAAUGAAAGGGAAGGGUGCAGAGCUGGCAUGGGUGCAGGACCUACUGUGACCACCGGCAAUCCUGAAGGAGCCUCAGUGACUCCUGUGACAGGAGGGCAGACCAAAUGAAAACAAGAGGGUCUCUCUGGUGUGGUGGCUGACUUCCAGCUCUAGG